UACAGAGGUGGCAAGCGUUGUUCGGAAUUACUGGGCGUAAAGGGCGCGUAGGUGGCCUUCUUAGUCAGACGUGAAAUCCCCGGGCUUAACUCGGGAACUGCGUCUGAUACUGGAAGGCUGGAGUUCGGGAGAGGAAUGUGGAAUUCCAGGUGUAGCGGUGAAAUGCGUAGAUAUCUGGAGGAACACCGGUGGCGAAGGCGGCUCACUGGCCCGAUACUGACGCUGAGGCACGAAAGCGUGGGAGCAAACAGG
rnacentral:rRNA from 1 species